rnacentral:rRNA from 1 species
ACAGGCGGAAGGGGGUGCUUGCACCUUUCAAGUGAGUGGCGAACGGGUGAGUAACACGUGGACAACCUGCCUCAAGGCUGGGGAUAACAUUUGGAAACAGAUGCUAAUACCGAAUAAAACUUAGUGUCGCAUGACACAAAGUUAAAAGGCGCUUCGGCGUCACCUAGAGAUGGAUCCGCGGUGCAUUAGUUAGUUGGUGGGGUAAAGGCCUACCAAGACAAUGAUGCAUAGCCGAGUUGAGAGACUGAUCGGCCACAUUGGGACUGAGACACGGCCCAAACUCCUACGGGAGGCUGCAGUAGGGAAUCUUCCACAAUGGGCGAAAGCCUGAUGGAGCAACGCCGCGUGUGUGAUGAAGGCUUUCGGGUCGUAAAGCACUGUUGUAUGGGAAGAACAGCUAGAAUAGGAAAUGAUUUUAGUUUGACGGUACCAUACCAGAAAGGGACGGCUAAAUACGUGCCAGCAGCCGCGGUAAUACGUAUGUCCCGAGCGUUAUCCGGAUUUAUUGGGCGUAAAGCGAGCGCAGACGGUUUAUUAAGUCUGAUGUGAAAGCCCGGAGCUCAACUCCGGAAUGGCAUUGGAAACUGGUUAACUUGAGUGCAGUAGAGGUAAGUGGAACUCCAUGUGUAGCGGUGGAAUGCGUAGAUAUAUGGAAGAACACCAGUGGCGAAGGCGGCUUACUGGACUGCAACUGACGUUGAGGCUCGAAAGUGUGGGUAGCAAACAGGAUUAGAUACCCUGGUAGUCCACACCGUAAACGAUGAACACUAGGUGUUAGGAGGUUUCCGCCUCUUAGUGCCGAAGCUAACGCAUUAAGUGUUCCGCCUGGGGAGUACGACCGCAAGGUUGAAACUCAAAGGAAUUGACGGGGACCCGCACAAGCGGUGGAGCAUGUGGUUUAAUUCGAAGCAACGCGAAGAACCUUACCAGGUCUUGACAUCCUUUGAAGCUUUUAGAGAUAGAAGUGUUCUCUUCGGAGACAAAGUGACAGGUGGUGCAUGGUCGUCGUCAGCUCGUGUCGUGAGAUGUUGGGUUAAGUCCCGCAACGAGCGCAACCCUUAUUGUUAGUUGCCAGCAUUCAAA